rnacentral:rRNA from 1 species
UACAGAGGGUGCAAGCGUUAUUCGGAAUUACUGGGCAUAAAGAGCGCGUAGGCGGUUUCGUAAGUCUGAUGUGAAAUCCCUGGACUCAAUUCAGGAAGUGCAUCGGAUACUGCGAGACUAGAGUACAGGAGGGGAGAGCGGAAUUCCUGGUGUAGAGGUGAAAUUCGUAGAUAUCAGGAGGAACAACAGUGGCGAAGGCGGCUCUCUGGACUGUUACUGACGCUGAGGCGCGAAAGCGUGGGGAGCAAACAGG